UGACAUGAUGUAUUUCUAGAAUCUCGUUCGUCUGAACUCCCCUGUUGAGACAUGCACAUCUGACCAGG